rnacentral:tRNA from 1 species
GGAAUAGUAGCAAAGUUGGUCAAUGCGUCGGAUUGAAGAUCCGAAGAUAUAGGUUCAAAUCCUAUCUGUUCCACUA